rnacentral:rRNA from 1 species
AUUGAACGCUGGCGGCAUGCUUUACACAUGCAAGUCGAACGGUAACAGGCCGCGAUUUGCUGACGAAUGUCGGACGGGGGAGUAAUGCAUCGGAACGGGCCCAGUCGUGGUGGAUAACGGAUCGAAAGGGGAGCUAAUACCUCAUACGAUCUAAUGAUUAAAGCGGGGUGCCUGAAUGCUGCACGCGGGUUUUGCUGUCUCUUACAGAUGAUUUCGUGUCGGAUUAGGUAGUUGGUGAGGUAAAGGCUUACCAAGGCAACGAUGUGUAGCUGGUCUGAGAGGACGAUCAGCCACACUGGGACUGAGACACGGCCCAGACUCCUACGGGAGGCAGCAGUGGGGAAUUUUGGACAAUGGGCGAAAGCCUGAUCCAGCAAUGCCGCGUGCGGGAAGAAGGCCUUCGGGUUGUAAAACGCUUUUGUACGGAAAGAAAAGGCUCUGGUUAAUACAUGGGGCUAAUGACGGUACCGUAAGAAUAAGCACCGGCUAACUACGUG